CCUACGGGUGGCUGCAGUGGGGAAUAUUGGACAAUGGGCGAAAGCCUGAUCCAGCCAUGCCGCGUGUGUGAAGAAGGCCUUCGGGUUGUAAAGCACUUUCAGUGGGGAAGAAAGCCUUGGGGCUAAUACCCUCGAGGAAGGACAUCACCCACAGAAGAAGCACCGGCUAACUCCGUGCCAGCAGCCGCGGUAAUACGGAGGGUGCGAGCGUUAAUCGGAAUUACUGGGCGUAAAGCGCGCGUAGGCGGUCUGAUAAGCCGGUUGUGGAAGCCCCGGGCUCAACCUGGGAACGGCAUCCGGAACUGUCAGGCUAGAGUGCAGGAGAGGAAGGUAGAAUUCCCGGUGUAGCGGUGAAAUGCGUAGAGAUCGGGAGGAAUACCAGUGGCGAAGGCGGCCUUCUGGACUGACACUGACGCUGAGGUGCGAAAGCGUGGGUAGCAAACAGGAUUAGAUACCCCUGUAGUC
rnacentral:rRNA from 1 species